rnacentral:misc_RNA from 1 species
UAUCAUCGUGGUAUUUUGAAGGUAUACCUGCCUUUCUUGAUCCCUGAGCAUGACCAUGACGACCAAGAAAUGCUGUAAGUAAAUUCUUACUCUUUCUGGCGUAUUCUUGCAUAUCUUUUGCACUGUUUCUUUCCGGGUUUAUGGACAUUGACAUCGCUCUCCGUGGCUCAGAUGGACACCUCUGUUUAAUACUGGAAGUGCUGGGUGAAAUUGAUCUGGUUACAGCG